rnacentral:lncRNA from 1 species
CUCUCUCCCUUCUCUCUAACUUUUUUCCUUAUCGUCGUUGCUUUGCCUCUCCGGAUUGCCCUUCCGGCACCGGAGAGGGCUCGUCUCCCUUCUUUUUGUUGCUUGUUGGAGAUCUUUCCUCAACGUUUCCUCUCCAGAGAUGGUAGCAGUCCUCCGUCCGUUUCUGGGCUCUGGUUUGGUGGUUCCGGUUUAGAUCUGGCGUGUGGCUGCGGCGAGGUAUUUGUGGGUGGUCGUUGGAGGUUCUAGCGGUUCGUGUGUGUGAGGUAGCACCGUUCUUGCGGGUUUCUUCGGCGGAUCUGGGUAGAGUGUCUCGCCAAGCGUCGUUCUUUCCGGUGAUUGUUGGCUUUGUUGAGUGUUGGGGAUCUGGGCUUUCCUCCUUUGGGUAAGCCUCAGGGAUCGGUCUCUGGUCGUGUAUGCCGUCAGAUUCGCAGAUCUCCCCUUCUCCAGUCGGUCGCUUGCUUGUUUUUCUGGUUCUGGUUUCGUCAGGUGAGUAGAUCUCUGGGUUGCGCUUAAUUGUAGGUCUUGGGGGUGCAAAGAAAGGCAGAUGUGAGCAAGGUUGUGUAUCCGGCAGCGGUGGGUAGGUUUCCUCCAUCGAUGCAGCUGUGGCGGUGUUGAAUCAUUGGAGGGUCGAGUAGAACCAGUCUAGGGAUUACUUUUGGUAGAAGACGCCAUUAGUUCCCUUUGGUGUUCUCUCACGGCUCAAACUUCCAAUGGCCGCUACGGUUUGCGGCGGAAGUCGGUGGUAGGAUUGGUUGGUUUUGCUGCUUGCUUGGGGUUAACAGUAGAUCCUUUUGGGUCUUAGAUGGCAGUUGCGGAGGUUCGAUCUUGAGAGUUUAGCUUGAGCAACUUUGGUCUCUUUGAUUGCCGCUUCUGUUUCCUCCGGCCAAAUUGUUUGCUCCUUGCUCGGAAAUAACAAGCAUCUACAGAUCUGGAAGUGGGGGUUAGCUCUGAGUAUGGCUUGGUUGCUAGGCAUGGGACCGCCAUCGUAGAGCCUGUUGUCGGUGGUUUGGACAGAUCGGGAGUUUUGUUCUAGGUCAGGUGAAUCUCGGAAGUGGAACCGGCGUCGGAUUUUGAAUGCUUCUGGCAAUGUCUACACUUCACGGUCUCUACCGCAAAGGAGUCGAACUCGCAUUCGCCGGAUUUACUGUUCAAGCCAUUGCCUCAGGUCUUCAGCAGGAGCAGAUCCCAAUUUUGGUGAUGGGCCUAGAUGUUUUGUUAUUUCCAUUUUGGAUCUGCUUUUUUUCUUUGUAUUUUCUCAAGGCCUGGCCCAAUUUUUAAAUUGGGAUGACCCAUUAAUAAAAUUGGUAGUUAAAAAAAAAAAAAAAAAAAAAAAAAAAAAAAAAAAUGUAUUCUUACCAACUCUACAUAUUUUGGUCGUUUUGACGGCUGUAAAAUUCGAUGUUAGUUGGCCCUUACGUAGCGUAACGUGGGCAUAUGAGACCUAAAUAUUAAAAUACGAUUUUCUCAAGAUGCUUUCGAUACAAAAUCAACCCCAAAGACGAAAUUCAUUUCUAAAAAUAGCUGAUGAUAUACUCUUCUGAAGCUUAUCAUUCUUAUUAACAAAUUAAAUUGUAAAACUCAUCAGCUUUUUUCUUUUUAAUUUUCUCAGCUAACCAUUUGUUAUUAAGAAUGCAAAAGACUAAUAUGCAUUUAUAUAUAUCCAGUAUUAAGGUUUAAGCUUUCUUUAACUUAUUUAG